AUGAAGCCCAGUACAGAUGUGAGACCGAGCUCCAGCUCGAAGGACUUCAGACUCAUCCGGUGAAGAGCUCAGCGCCCCUUUGGAUUUAUGUGCUUUUUGCUCCUGUGAUCAAUUGUCCUUCAAAGGUCUAGCUCCUAGAGAAUGAGAGACUGCCCAACUGCUCAUCUGGGGGCAACCCCUCUCCAGAGGUCACCUUGUUUAAAGGUCAUCAACAGGUGGAUCCCCAGUCAGCUCUUAGCAGGGAGGAUGGAGGCCUUUAUACCGUGACUGCAACAAGCAUUAUGGGAGAUGCCAAUCAAACUGUGGAUGUUGACAUUUUGUAUAAGAGAGCUCUGCAUUCAUACUUUGAGACAAAUUACAAUUCUUUCACAGUUUGACAGUAUUGAGUUAACAGAUUCAAACUUCUGAGGUGGAAAAAGCUUUGGGAAAUGUGCACUGGAUGAAUAUAGUCACCCUGAGAAUUCACUAAGUCACUAAACAGUGCGCUCAUUUGACUAAAUUGUGCUUUCAUUUAGAUUUUUGUAAAACUGUUUUUUUAAACGGUUAUAUUUACUCAAGCUCUUGUACUCAAGGUGUAAUUAAGGCAAUUAUUUGCCAUGUUUGUAUUUUUUGAAGAGCUCACAGAUCUACUGAUCUUUCUCGGUAACAUCGUUAUCACUAACAACAUUGUCUAGAUAGAGCUCUAGUCUGUAGAUCCAGAUCUGCUUAAACUGGUUCAGAGAUUUUUUUCCUUGUUUUUUAAUUUAUUUUUCAACUCAGAUCGUCCAAAGAUCACCUGUCCACAGAAAGUUGAGGUGAGAGAGAAUGGACCUCUGAAUGGCUGCAAAGUAGAAGGCAAUUCUACGCCAAAGGUCACCUGGUAUAGGAAUAACCGCACAAUUUAUCCGACAACUUUAUUCGGCAAAAUGGACAGAGGAACUUAUACACUGAUUACAAGUAGCAGGCCUUAUCCUUCAGUCUCUCAUAUUGUGGAGGUGGUUAUAAUUAGCAAAGGUAAUAAUAACAUUUCCAUAUCUGGGGGUUGGGUUCUACUGGUCCUGCUCUUCAGUCACAUUUUCCACUGACCAUGAAUGGAUGUUUGAGAUCCAGAUGGCAUCUACACCUUUCUCACAUCUAAAAUGGAAGGCAGCUGCCUUCUGCUGCCGAGUCAGUAACCUUGGAAAUCUUACCUUUCAAUACUGCUGAAUGCCACACUUGGCAUGCAGAACUGUGAUUUUGUGGGGCAUUUGUACCACGACACUUUGCAGUACAUUUCAACCAUCUUAAGACAUUUUACAAGUAACUUUCCCAACAUUGAUUAUAGUAAUAAUUUACUUUCUUUGUCAUUUAAUUUGAGAUCAAUGUGCUAUAAUGGAAUGUUUGCCUUCCCCCUGCUAUAAUGUUAUUUCCUGCGGAAUAGUGCAAAAAAUACUAUUAUUUUGGA